AGAGCUAAAGCUAUGUAUUAAGUGCUCACAAUUAUCGGUUGUUAUUUAGCUGAGAUUGGUAGUAAACAGGAUUUGCAACAGAUUCUCCAUUGUAAUUUGUGCUUUAAGGUGCUAAUUUAAUAUAUGUAUGGGUCUGUAGCUCAGCUGGUUAGAGCACCGUCUUGAUAAGGCGGGGGUCGUUGGUUCAAGUCCAACCAGACCCACCAUUUCUUUGAGCAAGACCUUUAAUAAAUUGGGGGUGUAGCUCAGUUGGGAGAGCGCCUGCUUUGCAAGCAGGAGGUCAUCGGUUCGAUCCCGUUCACCUCCACCAAAAUCAAGUUAGAGUUUAAUUUUUAGGCUUAUUUUAAGCUUAAAAAUUAAGCUUUAUAAGCUAAUUGUUCUUUAAAAAUCUAGAAGAGACGCAACGAAAUAUUAACUAUAGUUGUUUUUUGUAACUAUAGUAUUAGGGUUUUGAUUGCAUUAUAUUUUAAAGAGUAAAAUCUUUGGAAUACUUAUGAACAGCACA
rnacentral:tRNA from 1 species